rnacentral:lncRNA from 13 species
GUCAUAACGCAACCCUGGCUCAGCCCUCCACCUAGCCCAAGGUGAUAACCUUGGAAACCUUUCUGUGAGACGAACUCCAUAGCACACUGCCUGAGAAUCACUACACUCUCCUAAGGGUUGUUAGAUGAAAGAAGGAACUAAUUUUGUUUGAGUGUCCUCAAGGAGUAGAACACAGACAACUAUUCAAGAUGCUGCAAGAAAAGUCCUUGAGUGAAGAGGCCAUCUGAGAAAGGUGAUAGCAUUGCAGGUGUUCACAAAUGUCAGGCUUAGAAACUCUGCUCUGAAGUUCCCUUUUAGCUGCCUACCUCUGUGAGCCUUAGGGCCCCCAUGUCCUAUCUGUGGAAUGGAGUUAACCAACCCUGCUGAGCCUCCAUACACAAGUACAGACAGCAAAACAUGAUGAAGUCUCUGCAGUCAGAAUUCAAACACCAGCUCUGCUUCCUAUGAUCAAUCUGAGAUCUAAAGAAACAUCAAGAGAACAAAG